GAGUGUGUUGGUUAACGGCUAAACCAGAGGUCUCCAAAACCUCGACUGGUGGUUCAAUUCCCCCCGCGCCUGCCA
rnacentral:tRNA from 1 species